rnacentral:lncRNA from 1 species
GGUGGGCGUUGGUUUUGGGGGUAUGGUUGGUUCAGUUUUUUUUUUUUUGUCUUGGCGAGCUGCGGUUCUGGUCGAGGGAGAUGAAGGGAACGAUUGAGAGGCUGGGAGACGGAGGGCUGUGAGAGGGAGGAGAGAGCGUGCAGUGGCAGAGGGGGAAGCUAGCGAUGGAGAAGGUGAAUAAUAGAUCUGGAAAAGAGAAGGAGUAAUCGGGCGACAGAGAGAGGGAAAAGUCGGGGACGGCUGAAAAAGGAGAAAAGGAAAAGAAAGCGAGAGUGGCGACCGGUUUGGUUUUUAUAGCGUAGGUGGAGGCGAUUCUGUGCAGAGAAAAUAUAUCUACGGUUUUUUUUAUGCUUCCUUAAAUUUUCUCCGCUCAAAAUUGCCCCCCUACAUAAAAAUGUGGUGUGGAAAUCUAUUUAUAAGUGAAGAAAGUUAUUUUUAAUCGACUGGUCCCUCAGUUUGUUGUCUUUCACGAAUUGAUUUUUGACUGUGAAAUGUUUUUAAUUAAUUUUUAAUUGAUAUCAAAAUUUUAAUGCUCUU